rnacentral:rRNA from 1 species
CACGUAGGGUGCGAGCGUUGUCCGGAAUUAUUGGGCGUAAAGAGCUCGUAGGCGGUGUGUCGCGUCGGCCGUGAAAACCUGCAGCUUAACUGUGGGCUUGCGGUCGAUACGGGCAUCACUGGAGUUCGGCAGGGGAGACUGGAAUUCCUGGUGUAGCGGUGAAAUGCGUAGAUAUCAAGAGGAACACCUGCGGCGAAGGCGGGUCUCUGGACAGUUCCUGACGCUGAGGCACGAAGGUCAGGGGAGCAAACGGG